UGUACCGCGUAGCGAAACGAGCGUGCUUCGUUCUCGUGAUUACGUGGAAACGAAGGAAAAGAAAGUAUAAAGGUGUGAAGGGAAAGAUAUGCGAGAGAUGUGUGAGUGUGAAUGGAAUGUGUAAGUGUAAAAUGGGUGUGAAAAAUUUGAAAAAUGGCGGAGAAUUAACGAGCAAUUGAUUAAAUGUAACAUUUCUCUUCAACUUUACGUUAUAUUGGAACACGUUGAUUUAAUUUAAAUUAAUUGUUAAUUCACCAGGGUAACUUGGACCGAGAAUAUAUCGAAGAGAAAUGAUGUGAAUAUUCAAGUCAAGGCUCUGCUAUUUUGUGGAAGAAGAAAUAUUGGAUAUUGUGCUUCGAACGGAUCGAAAGAUAGACGAAUGAAGGAAAUAAAAUAUCAAAAUGGGAAGUGCUUAAAAAUAGCAAUUAUCAGCUGCUCCCUUUAAUAGAAAGAAUUAUCGAAUAAAGUGAGGAUUUUUAAGCACUUAGUUAGGAACGAUUAAUAAUCGACAAUGGGGAGGAUGCUCGACGAUUCGUUUCGUUCGGGAAACUUUAGCAAUUACUGAUAUUCUCGCGUUGGACGGGAACGAGAAGGAGGAGAAAACAUUAAGAGUUUGAUAAAAACGAUCGCUACUUCCCCUCUCGAAAAACGAAGACCCCUCUCUUCAACGUCAACCUCCAACGAAAAUUAUCAUACCAUUGCACGAAUUUUUAUCUAAAAAAAAAAAAAACAAAACCAUGAAAAAUCAAAAUUCCUCUCCUCUCUAAACACAUCAUUGUCCGUUUUAAUCCCCCUGCUUAACCUCUCUCGAAUUAGAAAACACUCCCCGCCAUUAUAUCUCCGCGCUUAAUAUCCCCUGAAACCCAUAUAGAUACGA